GAUGAACGCUGGCGGCGUGCCUAACACAUGCAAGUCGAGCGAACAGACGAGGAGCUUGCUCCUCUGACGUUAGCGGCGGACGGGUGAGUAACACGUGGAUAACCUACCUAUAAGACUGGGAUAACUUCGGGAAACCGGAGCUAAUACCGGAUAAUAUAUUGAACCGCAUGGUUCAAUAGUGAAAGACGGCUUUGCUGUCACUUAUAGAUGGUUCCGCGCCGCAUUAGCUAGUUGGUAAGGUAACGGCCUACCAAGGCAACGAUGCGUAGCCGACCUGAGAGGGUGAUCGGCCACACUGGAACUGAGACACGGUCCAGACUCCUACGGGAGGCAGCAGUAGGGAAUCUUCCGCAAAGGGCGGAAGCCUGACGGAGCAACGCCGCGUGAGUGAUGAAGGUCUUCGGAUCGUAAAGCUCUGUUAUUAGGGAAGAACAGAUGUGUAAGGAACUAUGGACGUCUUGACGGUACCUAAUCAAAAAGCCACGGCUAACUACGUG
rnacentral:rRNA from 1 species